CGGUGACUUACAAGUUCAAGCCAUGCAAAGCUGAAUCCUGGAACUUUGAGGGGCUGAAGGGCAUGGAAAGCAUUGGCUAAAGCUGUUAAAACCUGAAAAUUUGCACCAUCAAAAACAGGGUCCAGGGAACUGAGAUCCACUAACCAAUUAAUGAAAAGCCUAAAAUAUGGUCUAGGAUUAAAGAUCAUCUUCUUUUCAUCAGCGUCCCUCUGGAUGAAUCUUACAGUGACAGCGAGAACCUUUGGCAGCAGCAAUAAUUUACUAGAUCCUUGAUCCACAGGAUAAAACUUCAAAAUUGAGAACACUAGUUUGGCAUAGAUAUCGAUUGCAAGGAAUGAUAGUGGUUGUGCUUGGUGAGACUGAGGGGUGGAACUCAUGACCUCAGACGAAAGACAAUGUGAAACAGAAAGUUCCGUGAGUCUGCGGAAAAAACGCUCUGAAGUUUCAUCGCCUUUUAAUAGGCCACUCUGGUUUAAUUGCAAGAUAUAAUGAGCAUGAGUUGCGUCAUUCGCUCCAGGAAUUUCACAAAUACGGUACCACUCAGCAAACAACAUAGAGACCUGCUCGCGGAAACUUGCAGAAUCUGGUUCAAUACAUUCAGAAACACCAUAAUCUUCUCUGGUACCAGUAGCAGUAACGGCAAUCUUUUUGUCUCUAGAUUGCUUGUUGCCAUCCUCCUUCCCAAAAGAUACACUAGAGAGCGCAGCAGCAUUAGCACCAGGGUUCUUAGCAAUCUCAACAAGUUGUUGUAAAGACUCGGGAGAACCUGGUCUGGCUGCAAUCUUAGCAAGUGCAUCAACAAGGUUCUGCAGCUCGGAUAUGACUCUAGAAUCACUUAUCACCAGUGUUUGAAUAAGAGAUACAGCAAAUUCAGUAGCAGACUUGUUUCUGCCAGCAUCAAGUAAUUUAGACAUGUGCACAUUAUACUCGGCAAGGUUUAGCAGUUCACUACGUAUCAAACCAACUGUAAUGUCUUUGUUGAACUUUCUCUCCUCAUCAGAGUAAAUAACCCAACUAGUUAGCUCCUUAACAAAAAGUUUGCUAACAUCACGGAUUGAAGACAGAAUAGCAAGAUGGGCACCAACAUGAGCACUAUUUGUAGCAUUCUCAUACAAUCUCUUGAAAGCCUUCUGGGCCACUGCCAAGGCGGCCUCAUCUCUACUAAUACAUUUGAGGAUGAUUACCGGAACUUCAGCAAUAACUGCCUGAACUUCUGCCUCUUCAGCUUCUUCACUCACCAGGUUUUCAAGCUUUUCAGAGAUAAUCUGGUACUUAUCCAACGCAUCACCAGUAGUCAGCAACGGCUCGGAGAUACUAUUUCCAACACGCUCAGAGGUAGCUGUUGCAUUUGAUGGCUGUAAGGAAGCUCCUGAUUCCUUUGCAAGACUGGAUGGUUCCACUGGAUGCGAUUCAGGAGCUGAGACCGAUGUGAAUGGUUCAACAAUAGCCUCCGUUUCAAAACUGCUAGAAGUGACAUUAUCACCCGUCCCAAGAUGGGGAGAGGAAGCACUAUUAAGUUGAGAUGAAGUAUCUGUCUCUUCUGAUAUUUCCAAUGGCUGCGGAACAGCAGUUAUUGCUGCAUUCACAAGACCAGACGAGUAAACAUUGGAGUUCAAUUGUCCAGUUCCUGACAUAUACGCCCUGGAGACACCAACACUGCUGGAAGAAAUUGAAGGAACAGCAGUCACAGCAUUUGAGCUUUGGCUUGAUUGAUUUUGCCAAGGUAAGCGGACGAAAUCCUCAUAAACGCGUUGCUGAGAAUGGGAUAAGCGGCCAGGUUUAGGGCGAAGAGCUUCUGGUAACCCACCCAUAUGACCCUGUGUAUAGGGGCUUGCAUCAAAAUAUGAGGCACCGGGACCCUCUCUCUGUUUCCUCCUUAUGGCCAGCUGUUGAGCUAUUUCUCCAUCAAUAGUCUGUAUAGCCUUCUCUGUAGCUGCUUGUUCAAUCAUGGCACAGCCAAGAUCGAGAUUAUCAUUAGUAACAAGCUGAAGAGCUUGUUCAAGGAGGUCACUCGCAAUGGUCAAUCCCUGAAGUAAAUUACGAAGCUGGCCUGAUAUCGAACCACGUAAAGGUUCCUUGCAUGUCACAUGAGCAAGGCUUCCAGACAAGCUGGCGACCAUCAAAUGUGCAGCAUUACGUAUCCGGGUCUCAUCCGAUUCCAUCGCAUAGUCCUUCAAAACAAGUUCCUUUGUAGUCUGAGUUGCUAUAGAAACACUGCGCUGCACAAUGCUGGACACUAUCUCUUUGAUAGCUCUAUCCAUAGCCAUAGGAAGUACACUCUGAAAAUGCAACUGCAGGCCCAGAGCAUGAAGCUUAGGAUUGACAACAACUUGCUGCUCUAUAUUGGAUGCAGUUGCAGGAAGCUGACUAACAGAGAAUGGUGAUUGCCCUUGUAAAAGACCUUGAGCAGAAGGAAGCUGAUCAGACAGGCCAAGUGCUGCAAGCUUCUCAUCCUCCGUCAUUGGAGCAGAUGGAAGAUGAAGUGGAGCAGCAUACUGAGUUAAAAUUCGUGAAGGGCCACUAGGAUGAGGACUGGCAACAUCAAGUGGUAGUUCAACCUGGUUUAGUGAAGAUAUAAUGCCAGAUUUGGCAUCGGCCACCAUCUGUGGUUGGGAAGAUCCACCAGCAUCCUUGUUUGAGAAGUCGGGAUUUCCUUCCACUUCUCUCACUCGGUCUUUAAGAAGAGAACUUGGAACUACCUCUUUUAG
rnacentral:misc_RNA from 1 species